UACGGAGGGUGCAAGCGUUAUCCGGAUUUACUGGGUUUAAAGGGUGCGUAGGUGGGUAGGAAAGUCAGUGGUGAAAUCUUCGGGCUUAACCCGGAAACUGCCAUUGAUACUAUUUAUCUUGAAUACUUUGGAGGUAAGCGGAAUAUGUCAUGUAGCGGUGAAAUGCUUAGAUAUGACAUAGAACACCAAUUGCGAAGGCAGCUCACUACACAGUUAUUGACGCUGAGGCACGAAAGCGUGGGGAUCAAACAGG
rnacentral:rRNA from 1 species